CAUGCAGUGUUUAUCUAUUUCUGCAUUAGUUUGCUUAAGAUAAAGGUCUCCAGCUCCAUCCAUGUUGCCGUAAAGGACAUUAUCUUGUUUCUUUAUUAUGGCUGCCUAGUAUUCCAUGAUAUAUACAGUACAAUGCAUUU